UGNAAGUCGAACGAUGAAGCCCACUUGUGGGUGGAUUAGUGGCGAACGGGUGAGUAACACGUGAGUAACCUGCCCUUAACUCUGGGAUAAGCCUGGGAAACUGGGUCUAAUACCGGAUAUGACUGACCGUCGCAUGGUGGUUGGUGGAAAGCUUUUUUGUGGUUUUGGAUGGACUCGCGGCCUAUCAGCUUGUUGGUGAGGUAAUGGCUUACCAAGGCGACGACGGGUAGCCGGCCUGAGAGGGUGACCGGCCACACUGGGACUGAGACACGGCCCAGACUCCUACGGGAGGCAGCAGUGGGGAAUAUUGCACAAUGGGCGCAAGCCUGAUGCAGCGACGCCGCGUGAGGGAUGACGGCCUUCGGGUUGUAAACCUCUUUCAGUAGGGAAGAAGCGAAAGUGACGGUACCUGCAGAAGAAGCGCCGGCUAACUACGUGCCAGCAGCCGCGGUAAUACGUAGGGCGCAAGCGUUAUCCGGAAUUAUUGGGCGUAAAGAGCUCGUAGGCGGUUUGUCGCGUCUGCCGUGAAAGUCCGGGGCUCAACUCCGGAUCUGCGGUGGGUACGGGCAGACUAGAGUGAUGUANGGGAGACUGGAAUUCCUGGUGUAGCGGUGAAAUGCGCAGAUAUCANGAGGAACACCGAUGGCGAANGCAGGUCUCUGGGCAUUAACUGACGCUGANGAGCGAAAGCAUGGGGAGCGAACAGGANUAGAUACCCUGGUAGUCCAUGCCGNAAACGUUGGGCACUNNNGUGGGGGACAUUCCACGUUUUCCGCGCCGUANCUAACGCAUUAAGUGCCCCGCCUGGGGANUANGGCCNCANGGCUAAACUCAANGAAUUGACGGGGG
rnacentral:rRNA from 1 species